rnacentral:rRNA from 1 species
GAGUGAGGGCCCUCUGGGUCCAACCUCCCACCCGUGUCUAUCGUACCUUGUUGCUUCGGCGGGCCCGCCGUUUCGACGGCCGCCGGGGAGGCCUUGCGCCCCCGGGCCCGCGCCCGCCGAAGACCCCAACAUGAACGCUGUUCUGAAAGUAUGCAGUCUGAGUUGAUUAUCGUAAUCAGUUAAAACUUUCAACAACGGAUCUCUUGGUUCCGGCAUCGAUGAAGAACGCAGCGAAAUGCGAUAAGUAAUGUGAAUUGCAGAAUUCAGUGAAUCAUCGAGUCUUUGAACGCACAUUGCGCCCCCUGGUAUUCCGGGGGGCAUGCCUGUCCGAGCGUCAUUGCUGCCCUCAAGCACGGCUUGUGUGUUGGGCCCCCGUCCCCCUCUCCCGGGGGACGGGCCCGAAAGGCAGCGGCGGCACCGCGUCCGGUCCUCGAGCGUAUGGGGCUUUGUCACCUGCUCUGUAGGCCCGGCCGGCGCCAGCCGACACCCAACUUUAUUUUUCUAAGGUGACCUCGGAUCAGGUAG